GAUGAACGCUGGCGGCGUGCCUAAUACAUGCAAGUCGAGCGAACAGACGAGGAGCUUGCUCCUCUGACGUUAGCGGCGGACGGGUGAGUAACACGUGGAUAACCUACCUAUAAGACUGGGAUAACUUCGGGAAACCGGAGCUAAUACCGUAUAAUAUAUUGAACCGCAUGGUUCAAUAGUGAAAGACGGUUUUGCUGUCACUUAUAGAUGGAUCCGCGCCGCAUUAGCUAGUUGGUAAGGUAACGGCUUACCAAGGCAACGAUGCGUAGCCGACCUGAGAGGGGGAUCGGCCACACUGGAACUGAGACACGGUCCAGACUCCUACGGGAGGCAGCAGUAGGGAAUCUGCCGCAAUGGGCGAAAGCCUGACGGAGCAACGCCGCGUGAGUGAUGAAGGUCUUCGGAGCGUAAAACUCUGUUAUGAGGGAAGAACAAAUGUGUAAGGAACUAUGCACGGCUUGACGGUACCUAAUCAGAAAGCCACGGCUAACUACGUG
rnacentral:rRNA from 1 species